rnacentral:snoRNA from 12 species
UUUUUAAUGAUGAUACGAUGACGAGUAUGAAAAAGUAAAGAGGAUUUAUUACCGUUUUUAAGUACAUGUUUUAUGUACUUACUAAUUCGUAAUGAAUCGAUUUCUUUAUUUUUAAAGAAUGAUUAUUUGAGGCAUUUGGCUGAAAAA